rnacentral:lncRNA from 1 species
AAAUGCACAUUGAGUAGAAUGUUGAUAUAAUUUCUACCAAAAGCAGGGUGUGUUACAGACAUACCUUGGAGAUAUUGUGGGUUCAGUUCCAGAUCACCACAAUAAAGAUGGCUAGUCUUCUACUUCAACCAGAUUGCAAACCCACUAAGGCCUGGGAACAUAUAUGUCUGCAUAGAAUUGAAUGAGACCUUUGAGAUCAUUCUGUAUAAUCGUUUUAUUUCUACAGCUGGGGAAAUUGAAGACCAACAAGUUGUGAGUUGUCCAAGCUCAUACUACUAAUUAGUAUUCAGAAAACUCCUUAAAAUUCUGCUUGUUUUUGUCUUCCCUUGAUUGGUGAAGAAAAGAGGGAGUGACACUUUUCUCAGGGACUUUGUUACACUGUAGUUUGUCUAGGAUUUCCUCACCUUGAGGAGUAGGAGUAGUAAGAGGCAUGAUCUUGUAGUUUUGGUAUAGAUAUUUUUGAGAAUGUGAGUCACUUAUCACUCUGUGCUGGCCAGGAAGACUUCAAUGUGGAAAUUCUGGGACUCUGAACAUUGAUUUAAAUUCUCUCCACCAAUACAGGAUAAGGCAUUAGAAUCAAGAGUUUUUCUCCAAGUGGGAACUCCAAGUGGAGUUUUUCUCCAAGGCCGAUGAGAUAAGCCCUGGUCAUAAGUGAGAAAAAGCAGUUCAGAUCUGAGCUGGGUUGGCCAGACCAGAGAGAGAAAUGGGAGCAUUAUAAGAGGCUGAGCCUGGCUCUGGAGGUGAGAGUGUUGGGCUUUCUCUUUAGACACCCAAAUGAGAGAUGCCUUCUUUCCAGCUGGGAGCCUUGAAUGGCCUAAGGUGGCUUGCCAUCACUGGUCACAUCCAUUCUUGAGCUGCAGAUAUCUGAGCCUUGAGAGUCAUCAGCCCUGAUAGCAAAAGUAGGAAAAAGUCCAGCUAGAUCAUUGCACAUUUGCCAUCUUCUCCACUAGUGCCAGAAAAUUGCUCAUUUUAAUCUUUUUUACUCAAGAAAAAAAUAUCAAUAUAUUUUGAUAAAGGUAGUUGGGUUAAACAGGAUUUCAAUAGUCCUUCUUUAACCUCCAAUCUGUUUAGAAACCAUUCUUGAGCAGCAAUACUUCUUUGCCUGAAACUGAACUGCCCAUUCCAUUGGUUUUCUCGCCAAAAAGUUGAAGAAGAAUCUAUAAAAACUGAGAGUUUUUAAUUGCUAUUAUUUUAAUAGCUUUAGGGAGGUAUCGUUAACAUACAGCCAACUGCAAAUAUUUAAAGUAUACAACUUGAUUUGGUAAGUUUGGACAUAUGAAUCCACCUCUGAAACACCAAAGCUUCCUUGUAUUAAUACCUCUUUGAAAUGUCUUUCUACCAUUCCUGCCCCGUGGUCUCUAGGCAACCACAGAUUUGCUUUCUCUCACUCUAGAUUAGUUCACAUGUUCUAGAAUUUUACAUCAGUGGAAUCCUACAAUAUAAAUCUUUUUUGCUUGGCUUCUUUCACUCAGCAUAAUCAUUUUAAAAUUUAUUUGUGUUCAUCAGACAAAAAGAAUGGGAUGGGGUGCCAUUGUAGGAAAAGGUUCUGAAGCCUCAUUCAACCUCAGCAGGCAGCAGUUGAGAAUUGACAAGAAAUGCCUGACCUAGGGGUAGGAGGGGGAGUGGCUGCCCAUACACCUGCAGCUGCCAUCUCAUCCCUCAGUGGUGAUGUAUUCAACAAAAAUCUACCCUUAAACAUAAAGCUUGCUUCAAAUGACCAAGAGAAGAAUUCAUAGAACUUGACCCAUUUGCCAGGUGCAGUGGCUCACGCCUGUAAUCCCAGCACUUUGGGAGGCUGAGGUGGACAGAUCGCUUGAGGUCAAGAAUUCGAGACCAGCCUGGCCAACAUGAUGAAACCCCGUCUCUACUAAUAAUAUAAGAAUUAGCCAGGCGUGGCGGUGUGCGCCUGUAAUCCCAGCUACUUGGGAGGCUGAGGGAGGUGAAUUGCUUGAACCCAGGAAGCAGAGGUUGCAGUGAGCUGAGAUCAUGCCACUGACUCCAGCCUGGGUGACAGAGUGAGACUCCAUCUCAAAAAAACAAAAAAACAAAAAAACAAAAAAACAAAAAAAAAUCCUCAACCUUUCCUUCAGAUUUUCUACAAUAAACAUUUUUUUAAAUAA